AGUGAACGCUGGCGGUAGGCCUAACACAUGCAAGUCGAACGGCAGCACAGGAGAGCUUGCUCUCUGGGUGGCGAGUGGCGGACGGGUGAGGAAUACAUCGGAAUCUACUCUGUCGUGGGGGAUAACGUAGGGGGACUAACGCUAAUACGGCAUACGACCUACGGGUGAAAGCAGGGGACCUUCGGGUCUUGCGCGUUUGAUUGGGCCGUUGUCGGAUUGGCUAGUUGGCGGGGUAAAGGCCCACCAAGGAGACGUGCCGUAGCUGGUCUGAGAGGAUGAUCAGCCACACUGGAACGGAGACACGGUCCAGACUCCUACGGGAGGCAGCAGUGGGGAAUAUUGGACAAUGGGCGCAAGCACGAUCCAGCCAUACCGCGUGGGUGAAGAAGGCCUUCGGGUUGUAAAGCCCUUUUGUUGGGAAAGAAAUCCAGCUGGCUAAUACCCGGUUGGGAUGACGGUACCCAAAGAAUAAGCACCGGCUAACUUCGUGCCAGCAGCCGCCGUAA
rnacentral:rRNA from 1 species